rnacentral:rRNA from 1 species
GACGGAGGAUGCAAGCGUUAUCCGGAAUGAUUGGGCGUAAAGCGUCUGCAGGUGGCAGUUCAAGUCUGCUGUCAAAGACCGGGGCUUAACUUCGGAAAGGCAGUGGAAACUGAACAGCUAGAGUAUGGUAGGGGCAGAGGGAAUUCCUGGUGUAGCGGUGAAAUGCGUAGAGAUCAGGAGGAACACCCGUAGCGAAGGCGGCACUCUGGGCCGAUACUGACACUGAGGAACGAAAGCGUGGGGAGCGAACAGG